GACGAACGCUGGCGGCGUGCUUAACACAUGCCAGUCGUACGGUAAGGCCCUUUCGGGGGUACACGAGUGGCGAACGGGUGAGUAACACGUGAGUAACCUGCCCACAACUUUGGGAUAACGCUAGGAAACUGGUGCUAAUACUGGAUAUGUGCUCCUGCUGCAUGGUGGGGGUUGGAAAGCUCCGGCGGUUGUGGAUGGACUCGCGGCCUAUCAGCUUGUUGGUGGGGUAGUGGCCUACCAAGGCGGCGACGGGUAGCCGGCCUGAGAGGGUGACCGGCCACAGUGGGACUGAGAGACGGCCCAGACUCCUACGGGAGGCAGAAGGGGGGAAUAUUGCACAAUGGGCGCAAGCCUGAUGCAGCAACGCCGCGGGCGGGAGGACGGCCUUCGGGUUGUAAACCGAUUUCAGCAGGGACGAAGCUUUUUGUGACGGUACCUGCAGAAGAAGCACCGGCUAACUACGUG
rnacentral:rRNA from 1 species